rnacentral:rRNA from 1 species
GUACACUCCUGCGGGAGGCAGCAGUGGGGAAUAUUGGACAAUGGGCGCAAGCCUGAUCCAGCCAUGCCGCGUGAGUGAUGAAGGCCCUAGGGUUGUAAAGCUCUUUCACCGGAGAAGAUAAUGACGGUAUCCGGAGAAGAAGCCCCGGCUAACUUCGUGCCAGCAGCCGCGGUAAUACGAAGGGGGCUAGCGUUGUUCGGAAUUACUGGGCGUAAAGCGCACGUAGGCGGAUCGAUCAGUCAGGGGUGAAAUCCCAGGGCUCAACCCUGGAACUGCCUUUGAUACUGUCGAUCUGGAGUAUGGAAGAGGUGAGUGGAAUUCCGAGUGUAGAGGUGAAAUUCGUAGAUAUUCGGAGGAACACCAGUGGCGAAGGCGGCUCACUGGUCCAUUACUGACGCUGAGGUGCGAAAGCGUGGGGAGCAAACAGGAUUAGAUACCCCGGUAGUCCCAU